CUCUUAUUGACACAGCAAUUCUGACGUAAUAAGCAAUAUAUUCUGUCAACACAACACAUUCUGUUCUUUUGGACUUGGACUUAGACUCACAUAAUGUUCAUAGGGGUCGUCGUUUUUGUUGUACGAUGAUCCGUUUGAAUCCUUAAUGAUGCCUUCCAUUUCAUGGACAUCGUGAACAGCUACAGACACCAUCUCCUGCAUUACAAACAUAAAAACAUUAAAAACAACGUUGAAUCCAUUUGAAUUUGGCUGACAAUGAAGACUUUGCAUCACAAACCUGAACAUACUGCAAGUAACUUUGGACAUUUUUAACCAACUGCCUUACAGCUUUCUCCAGACUCCUGAACAGCUUCUCCUCUCUAUCGAAUACUUCAUCUCUCACCUGCAAAAGCGAAAUGAAAGUUAAAAAAAAUGCCCCGUAUAUGGAUAUAGAAUCCCAAAUCGGAGCGGUAUUAGAUAAGCAAGGAACGAGGAGUUGGGAUGUUUCUUUGUAUUACCUGUGGUUCAACUCCUGUGAGGAUCUUGAGAUAACCAGCAAACCUGUCACUUUUCUUCCUGAUUGAGUGGAUGUUGAACUUGUGAAGUUUGCGCAGAGUUCCUUCAUCUUCUGAAUUUUUGUACUUCAUUACUGAAAAAAAAUCCAAGGUGUAAAUAACACAAUAAUAUCGUCAAUAACUUCACACCUUAGUGAUACCAUCUGUAAAAAACUACUAUCUAUAAGGGCGCCACGUCACCUAUGUCUUUGCGCCUCUUGAACUCGUUGAUGUUGACGUUUAUGAUCUUUGCAGCAGUAAAGGCCUCUUGCAGCGGCCGGAAGUCGGGGUGGUCUUCAGGUGUGGCCUGCCACAGCUCGCCAAGCAGGAGUGGGUACUUCAUGAUCCUUUGUACUGGCUUUAUGAGCAGCGAACCCAUGUCCAGCAGGUUGGGCUUCCCUCUGGUACGUCACACAUGAUUCAAUAUGAUUAAGGACGCCCUAAAAAGUCAGAUUUUAAUCCCGACAUUCCCAGGUACUUACUCUAGGUCGUAGAUUGUUCUGCAAUUGGGAGGAAAAGAUAUCAGAAUAUGAGUUUUUACUGUAUACUUUUUAAUACAAUUGAACCUCUAAAGUUGCAUGUCCCUUAGUUCGUAGAAUUCAGAAUUUGUCCCGCGUUUUAGAGGGAAAAAAUGCCAAUAGCAGAAUACAUUUAAGUUGAGAAGCAUCCUAAAAGUAGCUGACGAGAUCUUGCAGAGUUGAACACUUUCAAAAGAUUGACUUUACAUGUGUUUUUUUGGCCCCACAUAUUCCAAAAUAAUAACCAGCUUCAACCAGGGGAACGUGAGAAAAGAAGAAGAAACACUGAAAAUUACGCACAAUAAGUUGUCUUACAUUGAAGGUUAAGGUACUUUAUACGUUCUGACAUUUUACUAUUAACAGUGGUUGGGAUUGGGGGUUAAAUCACCAAAAAUUAUUCCCGGGCGCGGCCACCACUGCUGCCCACUGCUCCCCUCACCUCCCAGGGGGUGAUCCAGGGUGAUGGGUCAAAUGCAGAGAAUAAUUUCGCCACACCUACUGUGUGUGUGACAAUCAUUGGCUUCUUUUUAUACACGUAGGGCAAUCAAGAAUGUUAACAGUUCCAUGUGUCAGUCUAAUCCGUGACACAACCUUUGUAAUUUUUCUUGCGUAGUUAAGCCUGAAUAUUGUAUUUGUUUUGCAUUUUAUUACCGUUAUAAGCAAUUUUUACACGGGAACAGGAGUUAGGAGUUAGGGUUUGGGCAUUGCAUGUUAAGAUAUUGUGGAUAAUUACCUCUGCCAUGAGGUUACGUAUUUGCAGGUGUCAGUUAGUUUGCAACUGAACUCAAAAUGUUAUUGGCGGAUUUUGAUUAAAUGUUCAGGAAUAAAUGGGAUAAGGAACAAGUGAUUAUAUUUUAGAGGAUAUCUGGUGCUCUGUCGAUGUAUGCUACCCAACGCCACUGAGCAUGUGCGCGCAUGCCCGCAAACGUAAAUAUUUCAAAUGUAUGCCUCAAACAAAAUACUAAUCGAUGCCAUGUGUUUAAAAAAACUGUUUAUUUCAUUGUACCUUCUGACCAGCAUUACAGGGUGAGAAAGAUCAGAUUGUAUAUUAAUAUAUUUAUUGUAUAAACGCAUUUGGACAAAUACAGCGUGAGAACUUCACAUCGACGCAAACAAUGGUAGCUUACAUUUUAAGUUUAAACACCGCUUUACGCUACUGAUAGCUUUUUUUCGAGGAAGCAGCAAAAUUCGACAGACCACCGGAUCAUUUCUACAACGUUACCGUGCAACGCUGAACUUGUGUGUUCAGCCUAUGCUCAUGUCCCCGCCGCCUCCACCCACAGAGACAAAGAGAGUGGAUGACUGACAAAAGAGUUCAGUCCAUUUAUUUCAUUCUGCCAUUAAACAAAAGUACCUCGCAGCUGCUGACACCAAUGUAGAGAACAAACUCUCUUGCAGCCUAUUUUGACGCAACAGACAAACAAAACAAACAUGCUCAAAUGUGGCAGGUUCAUUUAUCCUUUGAUUCGCUGGGGUUUGUGUGUCUGCAAAUUUUGAUAUUGGUUUUAUAUAUAUAAAAAAUUUUUUUUUUUAUUCAGUCAUUGGUGGAGCUAAGAAUAGUAUUUGAAUAUUGUUUAUAAUAUUUUUGUGCAGCACUUUGGAAACUUUUGUUGUUUAAAUGUGCUAUAUAAAUAAAGUGGAUUGGAUUGGAUUGGAAAUUAGCAACAUAGCUCAAAAUACAUUGGCAGAUUUUGGAUUUAACUUUCAGGAAAUUUCAGAAAAAGAAUAAAGAACAAAUUAUAUGAUUCUGGGGGUGAUCCAGACCACAUCAGGAUUUUUUUCCAACAUUAUACUAUUGAGUGAUAAGGCCUGGCUGAGGUCUGUGCUCUCAGAGUACCUUUAUAGUUGUUGUUUUUUUAUCCUGCAGGAAACAUGUCAGCCAGUGUCCUGGAACGGAUUGUGAUUAACCUGAGAGGUUUUACCGUAUCAGGAAGUUGCAGAAAGAAGCAACUGUUUAAGAGGAAGUAAAUCCACUUACUUCAGUGAUAAUACACAUGUGGUGAAAUGUUGCUUUACUUCUUCCUCUUUCUCAUAGGAUUCCAGUGACAUGUUGGCGUCGUCGUGAUGGAAUAGAAAGGUGCACAAUCUAGCUGCGAGAAUCGGAGGAAUGGAGAUUACCUAUAACGACGGCCUCCGGAUCCGGGUCUGACAUGGCGUCCUGGAGUCUGUGAAGGAGUGUGGCUGAUACCUCGCACACUGUCUCCAUGUGCAACUGUACUGUGCAAUCUACAAGACACGACCUGCAGGUUUCUUAGAGGCUGCACCACCUCCCGAAUGCACAGCUCCAUGUCAGUGAGGUAGUCUUUUUCAGUCUGCAUCAGCUCUUGAAUGACCUUUGACCUGCGCUUCAUCUUUCUUAAACGGACCUCCUCUGGAUCUAGCGCUGGUGAGGCGGGGGUGGACAAGUCAUGCGGUGACAUUUUUUCUGCGGAAGACGUGUUAGAUAUUAUUAGUGACCAGAACAUGAUUUAUGCCACCGCUAUUUAACUUGUGGCCCGUGGGCCACAUGCGGCCAGGGAAUGACUUCAUAUCGGCCCCCCGAAUUUAGUUCAGAUAUUUAUGCAGCAAAUUUCUAACAAUAGUAGAAUGGUCCCAUUGUAUAGAGGACCUUGGACUACUGUAAACAUAUUGGCAAAUCCUUAAAUUGACAUUUUAACCUUGCUACCUUUCCAGCAAACAUAGAACCAAAUCCAAACUUGUGAUUUACGUAACUCAGGCAUUCCUCAAGGCACCAGUUUAGGUCCUCUCUAUUUUUGGCAGUUACAAUUUUUUCGUAAUGUCCAUCCAUCCAUACAUCCAUCCAUUUUCUUCCGCUUAUCCGAGGUCGGGUCGCGGGGGCAGCAGCCUAAGCAGGGAAGCCCAGACUUUCCUCUCCCCAGCCACUUCGUCCAGCUCUUCCCGGGGGAUCCCGAGGCGUUCCCAGGCCAGCCGGGAGACAUGGUCUUCCCAACGUGUCCUGGGUCUUCCCCGUGGCCUCCUAACGGUUGGACGUGCCCUAAACACCUCCCUAGGGAGGCGUUUGGGUAGCAUCCUGACCAGAUGCCCGAACCACCUCAUCUGGGUCCUCUCGAUGAUUUAUGUAAUCAAGGUGUUUCUGUAGCUUGCUUGCAUCAGAAGCAGUCAGGAGUCAUUUGUUCAACUUUAUAGUUAUACUAGUGAUGUUCCUCAAGGUUCCAUUUUAGGUCCUCUCUUUUUUAUCUUUUUGGCUAUUCAACUAGUGACCUAGGGGAUAGGUUGAUUGGCAACACUAAAUUGUCCCUAGUGUGUGAAUGUGAGUGUGAAUGUUGUCUGUCUAUCUGUGUUGGCCCUGUGAUGAGGUGGCGACUUGUCCAGGGUGUACACUGCCUUCCGGCCUAUUGUAGCUGAGGUAGGCUCCAGCACCCCCCGGGACCCCGAAAGGAAUAAGCGGUAGAAAAUGGAUGGAUGGAACUAGUGACCUAUGAGUUUGGUUCAAAAAUCUUGUGAGACUCACAUUUUUUGCAGUAGGUCCAUAAAAACAGCAGACAGCUCCUGUCACUCAGACCAAAAUAAAUACUGGUAGACCUAAAUCAAAUGUCUACGCUGGUGUUCUGUAAUACACAAAAGAGACUAAUAGUGAAGGAAGAAGUGUGACCCUACGGUCCUUAGCUUUCUGAAAAUGUGGCCACCCAAAAAAUGUUGUUGGAUACCACAGUUCUAUGCCAUUUAGUAAAGCACAAAUCCUCCAGAGUGCCAUAUUUGCGUUGUUGUGCAGACCACUUCUUGUUUUACUGGGACGAUGUAAGACCGCAUGGCAUCGUACCGUAUUUAAUAUUUUUUGUGUUUUUUUUGUUUUGUUUUUAGAGGGGUGGGAGUGUCAUUUGGAAAUAUAUCAAAUUUCCCUGGAAUUUUCACACUAGCGUUGCCGAGGCCAAGUGGACUGGAAGCUGUGCUUGGACUGCCCACAGUGCCGAAGGUGAUUUUCUUUUUUCCAUAAAAUGUAGAUAAUGCGGGAACAAUAUAUGGUGGGAAGUCACCAGGAAAGAAGGGCAAAUGACAGGAGUUACCCGGGUAAAACGGGAGGUAUGACAGCUUCAGAAGGGAAAACAAUUAAAGACAUUUCAUUAAAUUUAGGAAGUGCCAUGUUUUGGUUUGUUUGUCCAUAUUUGGUGGUGUAUGUGUGGUUCCAAUUUGACUCAGACCAAAAGAGAGAAUAACAUCUUCUAACCAAACUUAAUACCAACCAGAGCACGCCGUUCGGUAUGGUGGCCACUGAUUGGCUCAGCCUCAGGCAGCAUUACUAUAUUUGAUUACAAGAGUUUUAAGGUGACUAUGUGGUUGUUUGUUCAUGUCCAGAAGGCUCUCAUAAGGUAAAAAAAAACAUAUUUCCAACAUCGUAAACAGGGUUCUAUGCGUUAACUCUAACAACAUUUGAUUUAUAAAUAAUAAUGCCUACUUUACGGAAAUUAAGUUACCACCAAUUAACAACAAUAAACAAGAAGUUACUGUACAGUAUGUGUUUGUCUGUCCGUUUUUUUGUUAGCAGGCUACUUCCUGGUUCAUGGAGAAUAAAUACCUUAAGACGACUAGACUGUAGUACAUUUGAUUUGCUGUGUUCA